CCUACGGGAGGCAGCAGUGGGGAAUAUUGGGCAAUGGGCGCAAGCCUGACCCAGCAACGCCGCGUGAAGGAAGAAGGCUUUCGGGUUGUAAACUUCUUUUAAGAGGGAAGAGCAGAAGACGGUACCUCUUGAAUAAGCCACGGCUAACUACGUGCCAGCAGCCGCGGUAAUACGUAGGUGGCAAGCGUUGUCCGGAUUUACUGGGUGUAAAGGACGUUUAGCCGGGCUGACAAGUCAGAUUUGAAAUUCCGGGGCUCAACCCCGGACCUGCAUUUUAAACUGUUGGUCUUGAGUAUCGGAGAGGCAUGCGGAAUUCCUAGUGUAGCGGUGAAAUGCGUAGAUAUUAGGAGGAACACCAGUGGCGAAGGCGGCCUGCUGGACGACAACUGACGGUGAGGCGCGAAAGCGUGGGGAGCAAACAGGAUUAGAUACCCGAGUAGUC
rnacentral:rRNA from 1 species